rnacentral:rRNA from 1 species
GACGAACGCUGGCGGCGUGCUUAACACAUGCAAGUCGAACGGAAAGGCCCUGCUUUUGUGGGGUGCUCGAGUGGCGAACGGGUGAGUAACACGUGAGUAACCUGCCCUUGACUUUGGGAUAACUUCAGGAAACUGGGGCUAAUACCGGAUAGGAGCUCCUGCUGCAUGGUGGGGGUUGGAAAGUUUCGGCGGUUGGGGAUGGACUGGCGGCUUAUCAGCUUGUUGGUGGGGUAGUGGCUUACCAAGGCUUUGACGGGUAGCCGGCCUGAGAGGGUGACCGGCCACAUUGGGACUGGGAUACGGCCCAGACUCCUACGGGAGGCAGCGGUGGAGAAUAUUGCACAAUGGGCGGAAGCCUGGUGCAGCAACGCCGCGUGCGGGAUGACGGCCUUCGGGUUGUAAACCGCUUUCGCCUGUGACGAAGCGUGAGUGACGGUAAUGGGUAAAGAAGCACCGGCUAACUACGUG